UGACUGACGUAAUCGCUGCGGUACGUUCGUAUCGUAGAGGAAAGUCCAUGCUCACACGGCCUGAGAUGGCCGUAGUGUUCGUGCUAGUCGAAACAACGAGGCUAGGCAACGGUGACGUUGACGGCGAGAUGAAGUCCUACGGCUUUGCUACGGAUGAGCAUCUCUGAACAGUGCCACAGAGACGAGGCCGCCUGGAAACAGUCGGAUUGGAACGCGGUAAACCCCACGAGUGAGAAACCCAAAUUUAGGUAGGGGCACUUUUCGCCGCGGAAAUGAACGUAGGCGAAGAGGCGGGCUGCGCGAGCAGUCAUGCAGACAGAUGAUUACACCCGAGUACGAGGCGCGAGCCGUUUGAGUACAGAGGAACAGAACAUGGCUUAUGACG
rnacentral:RNase_P_RNA from 1 species